GAUGAAGAACGCAGCGAAAUGCGAUAAGUAGUGUGAAUUGGAGAAUUCAGUGAAUCAUCGAAUCUUUGAACGCACAUUGCGCCUCCUGGUAUUCCGGGAGGCAUGCCUGUUCGAGCGUCAUUAAAAUCACUCAAGCUUAGGUUUACCUAUUGCUUGGUCUUGGAGAUGGAAGCCAAUUCAUUGGAAUCCUCUUCGAAAUCCAAUGGCGAAGACCCUUGCUCUCCCAAGUGUAGUAAUAACUUAUGUCACUGAAGGAAGCGAGAAAUCUUCCGCCGUAACCCCCAUAUUUUCUAUGAUUGACCUCGGAUCAGGUAGGGAUACCCGCUGAACUUAAGCAUAUCAAUAAGCGGAGGA
rnacentral:misc_RNA from 1 species